AUUGAACGCUGGCGGCAGGCCUAACACAUGCAAGUCGAACGAGUGGCGGACGGGUGAGUAAUGUCUGGGAAACUGCCCGAUGGAGGGGGAUAACUACUGGAAACGGUAGGUAAUACCCCAUACUAUCGGAUGUGCCAAGAUGGGAUUAGCUUGUAGGUGAGGUAACGGCUACCCUAGGCGACGAUCCCUAGCUGGCCUGAGAGGAUGACCAGCCACACUGGAACUGAGACACGGUCCAGACUCCUACGGGAGGCAGCAGUGGGGAAUAUUGCACAAUGGGCGCAAGCCUGAGGCAGCCAUGCCGCGUGUAUGAAGAAGGCCUUCGGGUUGUAAAGUACUGUCAUCGGGGAGGCGUUACCCGCAGAAGAAGCACCGGCUAACUCCGUGCCAGCCGCCGCGGUAAUAC
rnacentral:rRNA from 1 species